rnacentral:rRNA from 1 species
GACGAACGCUGGCGGCGUGCCUCAUACAUGCAAGUCGAACGCAGUGGGGAUGGGUGAGUAACACGUGGGUAACCUCCCAUCAGAGGGGAUAACACUUGGAAACAGGUGCUAAACCGAUACUGAUGGAUGGACCCGCGGUGCAUUAGCUAGUUGGUGAGGUAACGGCUCACAAAGGCCACGAUUGAUCGCCGACCUGAUAGGGGGAUAGGCCACACUGGGACUGAGACACGGCCCAGACGCCUACGGGAGGCAGCAGUGGGGAAUCUUCGGAAAGGGACGAAAGGCUGACCGAGCGACGCCGGUUGAGGGAAGAAGGUUUUCGGUUCGUAAAACUCUGUUGUUAGAGAAGCGGUAUCUAACCAGAAAGCCACGGCUACUACGUGCCAGCAGCCGCGGUAAUUC